rnacentral:rRNA from 1 species
CAUUUACGGAGAGUUUGAUCCUGGCUCAGGACGAACGCUGGCGGCGUGCUUAACACAUGCAAGUCGAACGAUGAAGCCGGAGCUUGCUCUGGUGGAUUAGUGGCGAACGGGUGAGUAACACGUGAGUAACCUGCCCUUGACUCUGGGAUAAGCGUUGGAAACGACGUCUAAUACCGGAUACGAGCUUCA